UGGGCGCCGUAGUUGUAAAUAUUCUCCAAACCUCCAUUCUUAUGUGGAAUUAAAGAACAUUGAUAAUUCAUUUUUCUUCUUAUAUAUGUUAACUUCCUUUAAAAUGUUCCAAUUGAAACCUGCAACAAACAAUUAACCAUAGAGACAUUGCAUAUGUGGUUAGACCGUUAGAGAACGAAAAAGGUAAGGAGUAUGAGAAAUUGUUCAUUGUAGAUAGAAGGGAUUUUACUGGAGGUUGGAGAAAGUUGGCUUUGGAUCAUGAGUUUGACGAUGGUUAUGCCCUAUUGCCCUUGUAUAUGAUGACUCAUUGACAAAAUAAGAUUUAAGCGAUCACCAACCUCUCUCUUUUCUUGCUUGAAGUUGGUAUCUUUUAAAGUUGGUCGUGACUAUGCUGUAAAACGAUAUUGAUAUUUGUACUUGGACGUACACAUUUAUUCAAAGGGUCUGACAGCGGGGGUGAAGGAAAGGAAACGUGUAGAAUAUAAAAAAUUUUGGAACCAAGAUCUGUUUCGGAAGAGGAUGCUGAACAAAGCGUCAAGCCAUAAGGAGACAAACUCGUAAGGAUCUAUCAAGCGAUACAACCACCAAGUAUUUGUUGGAUGCGUGCAUCAAGUCUGAUGUCAAGUACCUUCCUCAAACAGCAACGUGGAUGUUGGAUAAGGUAUAAUAUAGUGGAAUCUGGAUGGUAAUCCUAUUUAGAAGUGAUAUCUAUCGCGAGCCGGCUUUCAUGUAUACUUUGAAAGGAAGAACCUGUCAGUAGGGAUCAAUAUCUUCAGAUCCAAGCUGAAACAUAGAGGGCGUGCUUGAUCAAGGACCUGAGUUGUUGUGCAUCUCAAAUUGGUUUACGAUACCUUCUUUUUUGAGCUUUAUCGCAAAAGAGCGUCGCUGAGGUUUUUCUUUUAUUGUUCUGAUGGCAGCUUGUUGGAUACUUCUUGGAGACAUUUGUUAAUCCAACCUUUAUCAUUAACCAUCCUCGGCUAAUGAGCCCCUUGGCCAAGUGGCAUAGAUCGUACGUGUUUCAUGCUAUCAUGGAUAUUGUCUUUAUGUUAUUUUAUAUUAAUUCAUCUUCAAUGCAUAUACGAAGUUGAAUGAUCCUGCAUGCGGUACAACAACGUGAGCGCUUUGCCGAACAGUUAAAGGACCGACAAUCUGGUGAUGAGGAGACAGUGACAUUAGACGAAACAUCUUGUACGGCUUUGGAUUACGGAUUGCCCCCUACUGGUUGGCGCUUGGCGAUUGACCGGCUCACUAUGCUGCUUACUGAUUCCCAAAUCAUCAAGUACAAGACAUGCUGUUUAGCCAUAUUGUGAAUCGGGUUCGCUUGUUCUUGACGCGGCUAAUUGCUUCCAGCAUUGUGUGAAAUGAGGACGAGGAGGAAGGGGUCCUUUAUUUUGUGGAAAGAACAAAUCCAAACGUUUUCCACAGAUGCCAACGUCGGGGAUGUAGCUCAGAUGGUAGAGCGCUCG